rnacentral:rRNA from 1 species
CGCGGCCUAUCAGCUUGUUGGUGGGGUGAUGGCCUACCAAGGCGACGACGGGUAGCCGGCCUGAGAGGGUGAUCGGCCACAUUGGGACUGAGAUACGGCCCAGACUCCUACGGGAGGCCGCAGUAGGGAAUCUUGCGCAAUGGGCGAAAGCCUGACGCAGCAACGCCGCGUGGGGGAUGACGGCUCUAGGGUUGUAAACCCCUUUCAGCAGGGACGAAAUUGACGGUACCUGCAGAAGAAGCCCCGGCCAACUACGUGCCAGCAGCCGCGGUGACACGUAGGGGGCGAGCGUUGUCCGGAAUUAUUGGGCGUAAAGAGCUCGUAGGCGGUUUAGUAAGUCAGAUGUGAAAGGUUGGGGCUCAACCCUAAGACUGCAUCCGAUACUGCUAUGACUAGAGUCCGGUAGAGGAGUGUGGAAUUCCUGGUGUAGCGGUGAAAUGCGCAGAUAUCAGGAGGAACACCGACGGCGAAGGCAGCACUCUGGGCCGGUACUGACGCUCAGGAGCGAAAGCGUGGGUAGCAAACAGGAUUAGAUACCCUGGUAGUCCACGCCGUAAACGUUGGGCACUAGGUGUGGGACCUUAUCAACGGGUUCCGUGCCGUAGCUAACGCAUUAAGUGCCCCGCCUGGGGAGUACGG